ensembl:lncRNA
AAUGUGGAGGCUAUAUACAGGGGUACCGGUACAGAGUCAAUGUGGAGGCUAUAUACACGGGGUACCGGUACAGAGUCAAUGUGGAGGCUAUAUACAGGGGGUACCGGUACAGAGUCAAUGUGGAGGCUAUAUACAGGGUAUUACGGUACAGAGUCAAUGUGGAGGCUAUAUACAGGGUGUUACGGUACAGAGUCAAUCUGGAGGCUAUAUACAGGGGGCACGGGUGCUGAGUCAAUGUGUGGGGGCGCCGGUUAGUUGAGGUAGUAUGUACAUGUAGGUAGAGUUAAUUAAAGUGACUAUGCAUAGAUGACAACAGAGAGUGGCAGUGGUGUGGAGAGGUGGGGGGUGAAUUGUCUGGGUAGUCCUUUGACUAGGUGUUCAGGAGUCUUAUGGCUUGGGGGUAGAAGCAGUUAAGAAGCCUCUUGGACCUCGACUUGGC